AUAAAGUUUUAUUUUAGCUUAAAAAUUAUUAUUAAUUUAAUUUAUAUGUAAAUUUUUGUACGAAUUUUUAUUUAUUUUAAUAGUAAGUAAAUUAUAAAUUUUCAAUAAUUAGUAUUAUUAAUUAAAAAAAUUUAUAAAUAGUAAUAUAAAAAAGUAUUGGUUAAAUUUGUGCCAGCAGCCGCGGUUAUACAAAUAAUACAAAUAAUUUUUUUUAGUUUAUAGUUAAAUUAUUUAAUUUUAAAUAAAAAUUAAUUUAUUAAGUGAAAUUUUUAAGUUUAUUAUUUUUUUAAUUGUAAUAAAUUGAAACUAAAAAAUUUUAUAAAUAAACUAGGAUUAGAUACCCUAUUAUUUAAAAUAUAAAUUAAUAAACUUAGGUAGUAUUAGUUAUUUUCUUGAAACUUAAAAAAUUUGGCGGUAUUUUAGUCUAUUCAGAGGAACCUGUUUUUUAAUCGAUAAUCCGCGAUGGACCUUACUUUAAUUUGUUAACAGUUUAUAUACCGUCGUUAUUAGAAUAUUUUAUAAGAAUAUUAAUUUUCAUAAUUUUUUUAUAAUAAAAUAUAUCAGAUCAAGGUGUAGCUUAUGUUAAAGUAUUAAUGGGUUACAAUAAAAUUAUUUAUGUGAAUAUAAAUUUGAAAUAUUUAUUGAAAUUGGAUUUGAUAGUAAAAUUAUAAAGAUUAAUAAUUUGAUUUUAGCUCUAAAAUAUGUACAUAUUGCCCGUCACUCUUAUUAUAAGGUAAGAUAAGUCGUAACAUAGUAGAUGUACUGGAAAGUGUAUCUAGAAUACA
rnacentral:ncRNA from 1 species